rnacentral:rRNA from 1 species
GACGAACGCUGGCGGCGUGCCUAACACAUGCAAGUGGAGCGACGAACCGGACUUCGGUCCGGGGCAAAGCCGCGAACGGGUGAGUAACACGUGGGUGACCUGCCUCUAGCUCUGGGAUAAGCCCGGGAAACUGGGUCUAAUACUGGAUAUGACUCCAUGACGCAUGUUGUGGGGUGGAAAGCCUUGUGCGGCUAGAGAUGGGCCCGCGGCCUAUCAGCUUGUUGGUGGGGUGANGGCCUACCAAGGCGACGACGGGUAGCCGGCCUGAGAGGGCGACCGGCCACACUGGGACUGAGACACGGCCCAGACUCCUACGGGAGGCAGCAGUGGGGAAUCUUGCGCAAUGGGCGAAAGCCUGACGCAGCGACGCCGCGUGAGGGAUGACGGCCU